AUAUGGCGGUGAUGAAAAUACUUUCAGCAAGCAUGCCAGUACUGCUUCUGAGGAUUCAUGACUGAAUUACUUGUUAUAUUGAUGUGAGCCAUUC